GUGAACGUUCCAUGGUCGCCCUGUUUGGUUUCCAGGUGCAUCAUUUGGACCACAUCAUCAAUUUGAAAGUAAACAACCGUCCAACAAUCAGAAAAAACAGGCAUUUCGACUUUCACUCGAAAGUUUCGUUGAAAAGGAGAAAUCCACCUGCGACUUUUUGCACCUAACGACCUACUGUCACUGACAAGAGGACUUUUUUCAAGAAAGACAUGGAGCACCGAUACACCUCGACAACGGACCUCGUUCAAAGCCCCACCCAGCCAAACAUCCCACGGAUCAUCCGCCGUAGGGUCCCAGCACCAGCCUCCAACAGUGGAUCCCCACAUGGCUCCCCAUCUGGUUCCUCCCCUGGAUCCCCACUUGGCCCCGCACCCUCACACUCUGGCUCAUCCUCCCAGGCUGCUGUGACACCCACUGAGCCUCUGGCGGCGUGCCCUCCUGCAGGACCUCAGUCACCCCAGUCAUCCAGUGAGCCUGGGCUGUUUGGGAGCCACCCUGAGCCGGACUGGGCGAGGAACGUCAGGCUUCUUAUGGAAAGGAGGGAGCCUUAUGACAGCAUGGGGCGCAAGAGACCUUUUAAAAAGUUUUAUUUACAGUCUGAGGCUAAUCCUCAAGGUAAGUCUCAAGAGGGAUGAUGGGAGAGGAGAGGAGGAGAGGAGAGGAGAGACAAGAAACAACUAAAGAACUGAGGAAAAAAGACAUUAUAAUGAGAUGAGAAAAAGCGAGAGGAGAAGAGAGGAGAGGAGGAGGGAGGGCAACAUGAAGAGUGAACCUUCUCAUGUAAAGAGGGAUGAUGGGAGAGGAGAGGAGAGGAGGGGAGGAGAGGAGGAGAGGAGAGGAGAGGAGGUGGGAGGGAAUAUGACGUGUGAACCCUCUCAGUCAAAAAGAGGAGAAACAACUAAAGAAGAAAAGACGUGAAGAGAAGAAGAAAAAAUACAUUUUAAUGAGAUGAGAAAAAAAGGAGAGGAGAGGAGAGGAGGUAGGAGGGCAACAUGACGUGAAUUCUCUCAGUCAACGCGUAAGAGGAGAGAAGAAGACACAAUUAAAGAAGAAAGAGAGACUGAAGAGAUGAGAAAAGAAAAGGACAAAAAGGAGAGCGGAUGAAUGAAAUGAAAUAUCAAAUAUGACUGUCAAUAAAAAUGAAUGAAAAGUUGCAUUUCAUCAAAUUGCCACAAACUAACACGAAUGGUAUUAUUCCAUCUCAGCAGGACUGGAUAUGCUAAUGGGACCUUGGAGGCAAAACAACAUACAAGAUAAGUUUUUGAAUUUUUUUACCAGAUUUGACCAGUUUAUAUAUCGUGGUUUUUGACCCCGGACCUGGUCCAACGUGGUCGUGACAUGAAAAAAGCUGUGAAAUCUAAAUUUUUUGCAUUUUCACAAAUAAAAUGUCUACCUAAAAUGUCUUGAUUUCACAACAUUAAGAGGCGCAAACAGCACCAUAAUGUGGUGACUGUGUGCAUCUUAAGUCAUUAGAGCUUCAUACGAAUUUAUCAUGAAUUAUUUUGUGUGCACAAGAUAAAAAAUGUCACCUUACUGGAAUUUAGCGUCUCCAUAGGAAAGGGUUGCAGAUGAGUUGCAUAGUGUAGUGUCUGGUAAUCCAGUUCAAAGAGUCACAGUAGAUACAAUACAUUUGGAAUAUCUAUUUACAUAUCAAUUAGUAUGUGUAUAUCUAUAUAAUAAUACAAUGUAUUUAAAACAAUAUAAUUCACAAUAUAUAUAGUAAAUUAUAUGAUAUGAUAGUGUUGUUAAAUAUAAUAAUAAUAAUCAGCUUUAGAUAGCUAUAGAUAGCUAAGAGCUAUAGAUGUAAUGAUUAGACAUUCAGUGCAGUGUUGUAGCUAACACAAGUUCAUAUGACGCUGUUCAAACACUUGAGAUAUUCAGACAGGAGUUGGAGCAGUCCAUUAGGAGAAGGUGGGACUAUUUGUUUGUGUGUGUUUCAAAGUGUGAUGUCCCAGAAAGCAUUUCCAAAACUUUUCAUCUGUUGAUAACCCUAACCCUCCCCCAUGGUGGUGUUAAACUGACUUGUAAGUAAUGCAGCCUUUCUUCGGGGCUUCUACAGCAGUUUAUUGCUGGGUUAUCUCUACAGCACACAAUAUACACUGCCAGGACCAAAAGUUCCCUGGAAGCAUCCAUCACCAUCUGUCUCUCCAAAAAACAUGACCAGGAAAGGAUAAGGAGCAAGCAGAGGAAACACCAGCCAGCAAGAAGAAUUCAAGGUUGUUAUUGUUGGAGAAAGGAAAACCUUGCUACUCACAGUUUACACUAAAGGAGUCUUUCCAGAGGGUGAAGAAGCGAGAAGGAAAAUCUGUGCUGUGCUGAACCUGGAGGCUCUGCCAAAUACCGGGGAAAUGUGGACGACUGAUUUAGAGAAGGAACAAAACAAGCACUAAUGGCCACAAGAGCACAGGAAAAAGUCAGACAGCGGGGAGUUUGUGUCCCUUGUCCCUUGUGAUGCACACUCAUGGCUCUGACUGGCUGACAAGCGUAGGCUACACUGAAAGUGCAUGAUCGGACACUUUUCCUGUGUGGGUUCACUCUUGACUUCCUGGUUUAAAAUACAUUUGUCUGCGAAAAUACAGUAGGUUUGUUUAUUUUUACUUUUUUUGUUUUCUAUUAAUGCAAAUAUACAAAUAAAAAUGAAACACUGACAUAUCA